CAUCGAUAAGGAUGGCUUCCCACGGGUGGAGCCACUGGAAACGCUCGACCUGCCCCGCCCUCCCGAGGGGAACAUUCGCCGUGAGGUCCUGCGAUUGUGCGCCCUCGCCGUGGCCUUGGUCUUGCUGAUUGUGGCCGUGUUGGGCACGGCGAUGCUUGUGAACGGCUCACCCAACCUGUUCGGCCACAUCGAAGACCGCACAACGGAUGACAGUGGAGGUACCGACGUGUACUACGCGAAGCCAAGCUUGCCCAGGAAGACACAUGGUUACAAUAACGCUACACGCAAUCGAGGCGGCAACGAGCCCGGCACAGGCAUUCCGGUCGAAGACGGCGUGCACAUGACGACCGAAACGGACUAACCACGCUUUGGGGUAAUCGUGUUUUGAUUAGCACGGACGCUUUAUGAGCUGCUAUGAAAUGCCCGUGAACAACUUUCCUCCCUGG